rnacentral:rRNA from 1 species
UGGGGAAUAUUGCACAAUGGGGGAAACCCUGAUGCAGCGACCCCGCGUGGAGGAAGAAGGUCUUCGGAUUGUAAACUCCUGUUGUUGAGGAAGAUAAUGACGGUACUCAACAAGGAAGUGACGGCUAACUACGUGCCAGCAGCCGCGGUAAAACGUAGGUCACAAGCGUUGUCCGGAAUUACUGGGUGUAAAGGGAGCGCAGGCGGGAAGACAAGUUGGAAGUGAAAUCCAUGGGCUCAACCCAUGAACUGCUUUCAAAACUGUUUUUCUUGAGUAGUGCAGAGGUAGGCGGAAUUCCCGGUGUAGCGGUGGAAUGCGUAGAUAUCGGGAGGAACACCAGUGGCGAAGGCGGCCUACUGGGCACCAACUGACGCUGAGGCUCGAAAGUGUGGGUAGCAAACAGGAUUAGAUACCCUGGUAGUCCACACUGUAAACGAUGAUUACUAGGUGUUGGAGGAUUGACCCCUUCAGUGCCGCAGUUAACACAAUAAGUAAUCCACCUGGGGAGUACGACCGCAAGGUUGAAACUCAAAGGAAUUGACGGGGGCCCGCACAAGCAGUGGAGUAUGUGGUUUAAUUCGACGCAACGCGAAGAACCUUACCAAGUCUUGACAUCCUGCGACGGACAUAGAAAUAUGUUUUUCCUUCGGGACGCAGAGACAGGUGGUGCAUGGUUGUCGUCAGCUCGUGUCGUGAGAUGUUGGGUUAAGUCCCGCAACGAGCGCAACCCUUAUGGUCAGUUACUACGCAAGAGGACUCUGGCCAGACUGCCGUUGACAAAACGGAGGAAGGUGGGGAUGACGUCAAAUCAUCAUGCCCUUUAUGACUUGGGCUACACACGUACUACAAUGGCGUUAAACAAAGAGAAGCAAGACCGCGAGGUGGAGCAAAACUCAGAAACAACGUCCCAGUUCGGACUGCAGGCUGCAACUCGCCUGCACGAAGUCGGAAUUGCUAGUAAUCGCAGAUCAGCAUGCUGCGGUGAAUACGUUCCC